ensembl:lncRNA
CACACAGGUAGACACACAGGUGAGCACACAGGUAGACACACAGGUGAGCACACAGGUAGACACACAGGUAGACACACAGGUGAGCACACAGGUAGACACACAGGUAGACACACAGCUGAGCACACAGGUAGACACACAGGUAGACACACAGGUAGACACACAGGUAGACACACAGGUGAGCUCCACAGGGCCCGCAGUGGAAAAGACACUGGCUUAAAUGAGUAUACUAGAAGCUAGAUGGCUAGUUAGCUGCUGAAGCUACACGAGUGGUAAGCUGUUAGUUGCUGUGAGGACGGACUCAUCAGUGUAAGUGAAGUCUUUCAAUCGGCUCGACCACCGAAGGCGAGCAGCGACAUCUGCGUUUCGGUCGUAUAGGCAGCACCGGUUCUCGGUGACUCCAUCCCCCACAGCUCCACCAACCAGCGCCAGAGCUGAAGUUGAACAUGUCAGAUUUCCUGCACUGUGUUAUUUGUCUUGUUGUUAUUUUCCUUGGAUGUCUAACAUACUGUCUUUCCUCUAUAAAUGUUCCUGAAUCCUGAUUCCAGAGCUGAUUUUAACUGCCUGGCUUCUUCUGCACGCUCACAUUUGCUUUGCAGCAUCGACCAGAAAGAAGGCUCCCCGUGUCUUCGGCCAUGGCCUCCGAUAGCCCCUCCUCCCAAGCAGCUUCCACCUACCUGACCGCGCACACCAACGAGAUGGUGGAGCUGCAGCACCUGAACGGCCGCUUAACCAGCUACAUCGAGAGGUUGCACUUCCUGGAGCAGCAGAACCAGACGCUGGCGGCGGAGGUGAAGCGGCUGCGAGGCCGUAAGCUCACGCGCUUUGAAAGGCUCAUGGAGCAGACUCCCCAGAAGGAGGACGUGGAGAGCAACCUGGCUGCUUCCGGGGGGGUGACGCCUGUGUAGCGUGUCUCCACCCACAGCUUCUCCACAACGCAGAAGAAGCUCCUCCUGACGUUUCUCGUAUGUCUUCCUUCAUGUGCAGAGCUGCUGACCGUUAAAAGCAAUGUGGACGCCUCUGACCCGUUUGUCUUACUAUGCUAAAAAUCACAGCUCAACAUUGUUAAGGAACAACAAGGCAGCUCGCUGAGGUAGAGUGAAGAAAAGAGGAUGUCUUCAGAGAUACAGAACAGCGGAGCGAAGUGAAUGACCAGCGAGAGAAGAGGCCUAAGGGGCACGUGUGAGGGAGUAACGCUGUACAUCAGUAACAACGUUGUAUCUUUACCGUGAAGGACAUGAGUGAGUCUCUGUACCUGCAACAUCUGCUCCACCGUCAGCUUCAUCAACGGGUCGACAUCAUGUGAGGAGGAGCAGAGAGAAGAAGAGACGACGAGGGACAAGAACAUAGAGACUCUUCUGGGUUAAAGCGUGAGCAGCAGAGUGAUGCUGUUAUUCACUCUAUUGGGAUGUAUUUAUCUGUGGUUUAAUGUAUAUAUAUUAUAUUAUAUUUCCGAGAAUAACUGAGACGGACUUGAUUUGUUUUUUGUAUCAAUUCACAAUAAAAUGAACAUAAUUGCAUCAGAGAGGCUGCUGACAAAUAAAAGAAUUUUCCAAUGGCCUAAAAAAUAAAACACUGCAUGAACUUCCUGAUUUCUGUCUAUUUAAGUUAAAUGGAAUGAGGAAACAUUUAUUGUCAUAAUUUGUCAGACAUACAAGGAAUGUGACUUGGCGGUUGGUGCGUAACAGCAGAC